UGGGGAAUAUUGCACAAUGGGCGCAAGCCUGAUGCAGCGACGCCGCGUGAGGGAUGACGGCCUUCGGGUUGUAAACCUCUUUCAGUAGGGACGAAGCGAAAGUGACGGUACCUACAGAAGAAGGACCGGCCAACUACGUGCCAGCAGCCGCGGUAAUACGUAGGGUCCGAGCGUUGUCCGGAAUUACUGGGCGUAAAGAGCUCGUAGGUGGUUUGUCGCGUUGUUCGUGAAAACUCACAGCUUAACUGUGGGCGUGCGGGCGAUACGGGCAGACUAGAGUACUGCAGGGGAGACUGGAAUUCCUGGUGUAGCGGUGGAAUGCGCAGAUAUCAGGAGGAACACCGGUGGCGAAGGCGGGUCUCUGGGCAGUAACUGACGCUGAGGAGCGAAAGCGUGGGUAGCGAACAGGAUUAGAUACCCUGGUAGUCCACGCCGUAAACGGUGGGUACUAGGUGUGGGUUUCCUUCCUUGGGAUCCGUGCCGUAGCUAACGCAUUAAGUACCCCGCCUGGGGAGUACGGUCGCAAGACUAAAACUUAAAUGAAUUGACGGGGUCAUAGCUG
rnacentral:rRNA from 1 species